rnacentral:rRNA from 1 species
UACUGGGGGGGCAAGCGUUGUUCGGAAUUACUGGGCGUAAAGGGCUCGUAGGUUGCCAACUAAGUCAGACGUGAAAUCCCUCAGCUUAACUGGGGAACUGCGUCUGAUACUGGAUGGCUUGAGUUUGGGAGAGGGAUGCGGAAUUCCAGGUGUAGCGGUGAAAUGCGUAGAUAUCUGGAGGAAUACCGGUGGCGAAGGCAGGUCUCUGGGCUGACACUGACGCUCAUGCACGAAAGCGUGGGGAGCAAACAGG